rnacentral:rRNA from 1 species
UACGUAGGGGGCGAGCGUUGUCCGGAUUCAUUGGGCGUAAAGCGCUUUAAGGCGGUUCGCUAAGUCGCGUGUGAAACCUCCAGGCUCAACCUGGAGACGCCACGCGAUACUGGCGUGACUAGAGUUCGGUAGGGGAUCACGGAAUUCCUGGUGUAGCGGUGAAAUGCGCAGAUAUCAGGAAGAACACCCGUGGCGAAGGCGGUUCUCUGGGACGGUACUGACGCUGAGACGCGAAAGCGUGGGGAGCGAACAGG